UACGGGGGGGGGCAAGCGUUGUUCGGAAUUACUGGGCGUAAAGGGCUCGUAGGUGGCCAACUAAGUCAGACGUGAAAUCCCUCGGCUCAACUGAGGAACUGCCUUUGAAACUGUCAGGCUUGAAUCCGGGAGAGGGAUGUGGAAUUCCAGGUGUAGCGGUGAAAUGCGUAGAUAUCUGGAGGAACAUCGGUGGCGAAGGCGGCAUCCUGGACCGGUAUUGACGCUGAGGCGCGAAAGCCAGGGGAGCAAACGGG
rnacentral:rRNA from 1 species